CCUACGGGAGGCAGCAGUGGGGAAUAUUGGACAAUGGGCGAAAGCCUGAUCCAGCAAUGCCGCGUGAGUGAUGAAGGCCUUAGGGUUGUAAAGCUCUUUUACCAGGGAUGAUAAUGACAGUACCUGGAGAAUAAGCUCCGGCUAACUCCGUGCCAGCAGCCGCGGUAAUACGGAGGGAGCUAGCGUUGUUCGGAAUUACUGGGCGUAAAGCGUGCGUAGGCGGUGAUUCAAGUCAGAGGUGAAAGCCUGGAGCUCAAACUCCAGAACGGCCUUUGAAACUAGAUCGCUAGAAUUAUGGAAGAGGUAAGUGGAAUUCCGAGUGUAGAGGUGAAAAUUCGUAGAUAUUCGGAAGAACACCAGUGGCGAAGGCGACUUACUGGACAUAUAUUGACGCUGAGGUACGAAAGCGUGGGGAGCAAACAGGAUUAGAUACCCUGGUAGUCCACGCCGUAAACGAUAGAUAACUAGCUNUUCGGGCUCUCAGAGCUUGAGUGGCGCAGCUAACGCAUUAAGUUAUCCGCCUGGGGAGUACGGUCGCAAGAUUAAAACUCAAAAGGAAUUAGACGG
rnacentral:rRNA from 1 species